rnacentral:piRNA from 1 species
UCAUCUGCUUUGGUUGAGGAGAAACUUCU